rnacentral:tRNA from 1 species
CGGGGAGUGGCGCAGUUGGCAGCGCGCCUGCUUUGGGAGCAGGAGGCCGGGGGUUCAAGUCCCCCCUCCCCGA